rnacentral:lncRNA from 1 species
GGUAAUGGAGCAGAGACUGGAGCAGAGACAAGUUGUUCCCACUGAGCUCUCCUCAGAUUACAGAUUGGUGAUACAUCACAGGGGCUCAUGAAUGUGUCUUAAGCUGGGUCAUUGAAGUGGAAUGUUUUCACAAGACCUCCUCCACUUGCUACUGUGUCCGGAAUUGGUGGGUUCUUGGUCUCACUGACUUCAAGAAUGAAGCCGCGGACCCUCGCGGGAGUGGCAAAUCAAAGGCAUUGCAGCCUCUUUCAUCACUGCCGAUUGCUGAUGCCAACCAUGUGCCAAGUGCUUAAUACGUCACCUUAAAUCUUCUCAUCCACCCUCAGAGCCCACAGCACCCUGUACAGUAAUUACCUUAGAAGGUAUUUGCCUCACGAGAUUGUGUGCUCCCUGAAGGAAGAGUCUGCCUCACCCCAGCCUCAAGAUCCAGCACAGCAACAUCAUGCUUAACAAGGGCUCAAAGAAGCCUUGGAGUGUGUCCCAGACAUUCUUAUUCAAAAGAAAGAACACCGAAAUUGACCUUACCCUGACAAUAUGAUGGCUGAAGGAUUUAUGAUCACUUAUAACAUUUGAAAUUGAGGCGGAACCUGAAGAAUAAGACUCUGGUGAAAGGUCCUAUUUAUGCUUUUGAUGUCUUUCACUUGGACAUUUACCACAUGCCUAUUGGUAGGUUUGUUACAUAGGUCAGUUAAGGUGAUACAAGAAUAAAUAAAACACUAUCCCUAUCCUUUAAUAUCAUUUAUUUAUGGGGUCAAUCACAGAUUUUCAUUUUUCAAAAUCUUUGAUAAAUGUCAGAAUUAUGUUUUUUAAUAUUUUUACAGAAUUAUUACAAUAUAUGGUAGAGGAUGGAAGGCAAGGUAGUAUGAAACGGAAAAGAUAUUUUGAAUUAAGGUAUUUGGACCUGGAUUAAUAUUUUUGCUUUGGUCUUUAUUAGCUGAGUGACCUUGAGAAAGUUCUUCUACUAAAAAAGAACAAAGAUAAUAAUUACUUCAUGAAAUUGCUGUAAAAAACACAUAACAAGUAUAUCCAGACUCAACAGUGUAUGCUCAAAAAUGCAGAUCCUUUUUCCCUUACCUGCAAAUAAAGUCUUACAGUAAUACAGUGGGGGUAAAGGUUUAAACUGGUGGAUUCAAGAAGGGCUAUAGAAAGAGGUAGCAUCUUAAUAGGGGAAGGAGAGGAUCCAAGAAAUCAGAUCCAUUUUCUACAAAAAGAAAUGGGAAGACAGAUAAUUCAAGAAGAAAAGUUUACAUGAUUAAAGACCCGAAGUUAGAAAUAGUGAUGUGUCUCAAUAGUAAGUUAGGAAUUGGGGUGGACACAAUUGUUGGAAGAAGGAUGGUUUCAGCAAAGGCCCAAGUUAGGUGACAAUUUCAAGUGUUUGUGAAGAUAUAUGAACAAAAUUAUAAAGUAGUUAGGGUAUAAGAAAUAGGGAGGAGGGAAUGAAUUAACAUUUAUGGAGUGUCUUGCAUGUUCCAAGCACUGUACUACUUGCCUUAUAAACCUUUCUUCAAUAAACGCCUACAACAAUCCU